rnacentral:rRNA from 1 species
AUUGAACGCUGGCGGCAGGCCUAACACAUGCAAGUCGAGCGGAUGAAGGGAGCUUGCUCCUGGAUUCAGCGGCGGACGGGUGAGUAAUGCCUAGGAAUCUGCCUGGUAGUGGGGGAUAACGUCCGGAAACGGGCGCUAAUACCGCAUACGUCCUGAGGGAGAAAGUGGGGGAUCUUCGGACCUCACGCUAUCAGAUGAGCCUAGGUCGGAUUAGCUAGUUGGUGGGGUAAAGGCCUACCAAGGCGACGAUCUGUAACUGGUCUGAGGGGAUGAUCAGUCACACUGGAACUGAGACACGGUCCAGACUCCUACGGGAGGCAGCAGUGGGGAAUAUUGGACAAUGGGCGAAAGCCUGAUCCAGCCAUGCCGCGUGUGUGAAGAAGGUCUUCGGAUUGUAAAGCACUUUAAGUUGGGAGGAAGGGCAGUAAGUUAAUACCUUGCUGUUUUGACGUUACCAACAGAAUAAGCACCGGCUAACUUCGUG